rnacentral:rRNA from 1 species
AUUGAACGCUGGCGGCAUGCUUUACACAUGCAAGUCGAACGGUAACAGGCCUUCGGGUGCUGACGAGUGGCGAACGGGUGAGUAAUGCAUCGGAACGUGCCCAGAGGUGGGGGAUAACGCAGCGAAAGCUGUGCUAAUACCGCAUGUGAUCUGAGGAUGAAAGCGGGGGACCAGGCAGCAAUGUUUGGCCUCGCGCCUUUGGAGCGGCCGAUGUCAGAUUAGGUAGUUGGUGGGUAAAGGCCUACCAAGCCGACGAUCUGUAGCUGGUCUGAGAGGACGACCAGCCACACUGGGACUGAGACACGGCCCAGACUCCUACGGGAGGCAGCAGUGGGGAAUUUUGGACAAUGGGCGCAAGCCUGAUCCAGCAAUGCCGCGUGCGGGAAGAAGGCCUUCGGGUUGUAAACCGCUUUUGUACGGAACGAAAAGGCUCUGGCUAAUACCUGGGGCUGAUGACGGUACCGUAAGAAUAAGCACCGGCUAACUACGUG